rfam:Pyronema omphalodes CBS 100304, CBS100304, WGS project CATG01000000 data, contig: Pcon_v1_contig581
GCCUCGCUAGCUCAAUCGGUAGAGCGUCAGACUCUUAAUCUGAAGGUUGCGGGUUCGACCCCCGCGUGGGGCU